AGUAACGGCGAGUGAAGCGGCAACAGCUCAAAUUUGAAAUCUGGCCCUCUCAGGGUCCGAGUUGUAAUUUGGAGAGGAUGCUUCGGGUGUGGCCCCGGUCUAAGUUCCUUGGAACAGGACGUCACAGAGGGUGAGAAUCCCGUACGUGCCCGGUGGCCGCCCCCGUGUGAAGCUCCUUCGACGAGUCGAGUUGUUUGGG
rnacentral:rRNA from 1 species